rnacentral:tRNA from 1 species
GAGGGCAUAGCUCAGUGGUAGAGGUGUGCUUAGCAUGCACGAGGUCCUGGGUUCAAUUUCCUGUCCCUCCA